rnacentral:rRNA from 1 species
GGGUUGUGAGGUUAAGCGACUAAGCGUACACGGUGGAUGCCCUGGCAGUCAGAGGCGAUGAAGGACGUGCUAAUCUGCGAUAAGCGCCGGUAAGGUGAUAUGAACCGUUAUAACCGGCGAUUUCCGAAUGGGGAAACCCAGUGCGACUCGUCACACUAUCAUUAACUGAAUCCAUAGGUUAAUGAGGCGAACCGGGGGAACUGAAACAUCUAAGUACCCCGAGGAAAAGAAAUCAACCGAGAUUCCCCCCAGUAGCGGCGAGCGAACGGGGAGGAGCCCAGAGCCUGAAUCAGCAUGUGUGUUAGUGGAAGCGUCUGGAAAGGCGCGCGAUACAGGGUGACAGCCCCGUACACAAAAGCGCAUGUGCUGUGAGCUCGAUGAGUAGGGCGGGACACGUGGUAUCCUGUCUGAAUAUGGGGACCAUCCUCCAAGGCUAAAUACUCCUGACUGACCGAUAGUGAACCAGUACCGUGAGGGAAAGGCGAAAAGAACCCCGGCGAGGGAGUGAAAAAGAACCUGAAACCGUGUACGUACAAGCAGUGGGAGCACCCUUCGGGGUGUGACUGCGUACCUUUUGUAUAAUGGGUCAGCGACUUAUAUUCUGUAGCAAGGUUAACCGAAUAGGGGAGCCGGAGGGAAACCGAGUCUUAAUUGGGCGUUAAGUUGCAGGGUAUAGACCCGAAACCCGGUGAUCUAGCCAUGGGCAGGUUGAAGGUUGGGUAACACUAACUGGAGGACCGAACCGACUAAUGUUGAAAAAUUAGCGGAUGACCUGUGGCUGGGGGUGAAAGGCCAAUCAAACCGGGAGAUAGCUGGUUCUCCCCGAAAGCUAUUUAGGUAGCGCCUCGUGAAUUCAUCUCCGGGGGUAGAGCACUGUUUCGGCUAGGGGGCCAUCCCGGCUUACCAACCCGAUGCAAACUGCGAAUACCGGAGAAUGUUAUCACGGGAGACACACGGCGGGUGCUAACGUCCGUCGUGAAGAGGGAAACAACCCAGACCGCCAGCUAAGGUCCCAAAGUCAUGGUUAAGUGGGAAACGAUGUGGGAAGGCCCAGACAGCCGGAUGUUGGCUUAGAAGCAGCCAUCAUUUAAAGAAAGCGUAAUAGCUCACUGGUCGAGUCGGCCUGCGCGGAAGAUGUAACGGGGCUAAACCAUGCACCGAAGCUGCGGCAGCGACACUGUGUGUUGUUGGGUAGGGAGCGUUCUGUAAGCCUGCGAAGGUGGCCUGUGAGGGUUGCUGGAGGUAUCAGAAGUGCGAAUGCUGACAUAAGUAACGAUAAAGCGGGUGAAAAGCCCGCUCGCCGGAAGACCAAGGGUUCCUGUCCAACGUUAAUCGGGGCAGGGUGAGUCGACCCUAAGGCGAGGCCGAAAGGCGUAGUCGAUGGGAAACGGGUUAAUAUUCCCGUACUUGGUGUUACUGCGAAGGGGGGACGGAGAAGGCUAUGUUGGCCGGGCGACGGUUGUCCCGGUUUAAGCGUGUAGGUGUGUGUUCCAGGUAAAUCCGGUUCACUUUAACACUGAGGCGUGACGACGAGGCACUACGGUGCUGAAGCAACAAAUGCCCUGCUUCCAGGAAAAGCCUCUAAGCAUCAGGUAACAUCAAAUCGUACCCCAAACCGACACAGGUGGUCAGGUAGAGAAUACCAAGGCGCUUGAGAGAACUCGGGUGAAGGAACUAGGCAAAAUGGUGCCGUAACUUCGGGAGAAGGCACGCUGAUAUGUAGGUGAAGUGAUUUACUCAUGGAGCUGAAGUCAGUCGAAGAUACCAGCUGGCUGCAACUGUUUAUUAAAAACACACAGCACUGUGCAAACACGAAAGUGGACGUAUACGGUGUGACGCCUGCCCGGUGCCGGAAGGUUAAUUGAUGGGGUCAGCGCAAGCGAAGCUCCUGAUCGAAGCCCCGGUAAACGGCGGCCGUAACUAUAACGGUCCUAAGGUAGCGAAAUUCCUUGUCGGGUAAGUUCCGACCUGCACGAAUGGCGUAAUGAUGGCCCAGGCUGUCUCCACCCGAGACUCAGUGAAAUUGAACUCGCUGUGAAGAUGCAGUGUACCCGCGGCAAGACGGAAAGACCCCGUGAACCUUUACUAUAGCUUGACACUGAACAUUGAGCCUUGAUGUGUAGGAUAGGUGGGAGGCUUUGAAGUGUGGACGCCAGUCUGCAUGGAGCCGACCUUGAAAUACCACCCUUUAAUGUUUGAUGUUCUAACGUGGACCCGUAAUCCGGGUUGCGGACAGUGUCUGGUGGGUAGUUUGACUGGGGCGGUCUCCUCCUAAAGAGUAACGGAGGAGCACGAAGGUUGGCUAAUCCUGGUCGGACAUCAGGAGGUUAGUGCAAUGGCAUAAGCCAGCUUGACUGCGAGCGUGACGGCGCGAGCAGGUGCGAAAGCAGGUCAUAGUGAUCCGGUGGUUCUGAAUGGAAGGGCCAUCGCUCAACGGAUAAAAGGUACUCCGGGGAUAACAGGCUGAUACCGCCCAAGAGUUCAUAUCGACGGCGGUGUUUGGCACCUCGAUGUCGGCUCAUCACAUCCUGGGGCUGAAGUAGGUCCCAAGGGUAUGGCUGUUCGCCAUUUAAAGUGGUACGCGAGCUGGGUUUAGAACGUCGUGAGACAGUUCGGUCCCUAUCUGCCGUGGGCGCUGGAGAACUGAGGGGGGCUGCUCCUAGUACGAGAGGACCGGAGUGGACGCAUCACUGGUGUUCGGGUUGUCAUGCCAAUGGCACUGCCCGGUAGCUAAAUGCGGAAGAGAUAAGUGCUGAAAGCAUCUAAGCACGAAACUUGCCCCGAGAUGAGUUCUCCCUGAGACUUAGAGUCUCCUGAAGGAACGUUGAAGACGACGACGUUGAUAGGCCGGGUGUGUAAGCGCAGCGAUGCGUUGAGCUAACCGGUACUAAUGAACCGUGAGGCUUAACCUUACAACGCCGAAG